UUUAUGGAGAGUUUGAUCCUGGCUCAGGACGAACGCUGGCGGCGUGCCUAAUACAUGCAAGUCGAGCGGAUCUUAUCCUUCGGGGUAAGGUUA
rnacentral:rRNA from 1 species